rnacentral:rRNA from 1 species
AUUGAACGCUGGCGGCAUGCCUUACACAUGCAAGUCGAACGGUAACAGGUCUUCGGAUGCUGACGAGUGGCGAACGGGUGAGUAAUACAUCGGAACGUGCCUAGUAGUGGGGGAUAACUAAUCGAAAGAAUGGCUAAUACCGCAUGAGAUCUACGGAUGAAAGAAGGGGAUCGCAAGACCUUGUGCUACUAGAGCGGACGAUGGCAGAUUAGGUAGUUGGUGGGAUAAAAGCUUACCAAGCCGACGAUCUGUAGCUGGUAUGAGAGGACGAUCAGCCACACUGGGACUGAGACACGGCCCAGACUCCUACGGGAGGCAGCAGUGGGGAAUUUUGGACAAUGGGCGCAAGCCUGAUCCAGCAAUGCCGCGUGCAGGAUGAAGGCCUUCGGGUUGUAAACUGCUUUUGUACGGAACGAAAAGCCCUGGGUUAAUACCCCGGGGUCAUGACGGUACCGUAAGAAUAAGCACCGGCUAACUACGUGCCAGCAGCCGCGGUAAAAC